UUACAAUUAUUAGUAUUAUUAUUAAUUUCACGCAAAAACGUGAAGAAAGUGUGACAGCUUUGCUGAAGCAUGAUAUUUGAGCUUUCACGGUGUCCAUAGUUCCUCAGAUAAGCACGCCGAACAAGCGUGUGCUUGCUAAGCGCGUGCUUUCUCAGUGCUCAUCACGAGCACGCGCGUAUUUUGCCGCGUGGGUGGGGCGGAGAGGCAAGAAGACGAAGGGGGAACCAUAUCUGAUGGGGAAACGCGGAUUGACGUAACACCUGUUGGCAAUUACGUCCUGACCUGCGGCUUAAGAGAAGCGGUUUGCCAACUCUUCGACGCCAGAUUGUUGACUAGUGAUGGUACUCUCUUGGCCCCGUGCUCUCGUUGAUUGCUGUGUCUUCCUUGCUUUGAUCUCCGAGUAAUCUGACUUUCCGAUCUCUGUUCUUUUAGGACUUACCCGAGCAUCCAGAUCUGGACCUUCGCUCCCCGUUCCCCCCUCGUGACUUUGGCGGAGAUUACCCGCCAGAUGCCCGAGUCUCCACUGCAACCUUACAGUUCAAUCCUUCUCCAAACCUCACUCAAAUUGGCAAACCGUCCGCUCAGUUGCUCUCCAAGCCCUGAACGACCUGUCCGUUCCCCAACGCCGCCACACCAGCUCAAAUCCUUGCUUCCGUCAAGGACUCGACGUUUCGUGGUAAACGCCUCCAUAACCAAAGAAACGGAAACCCAGAACCUCUGACUCCCUCCAAAGGUUUCACACAUACUACUUACACCCUGUACUGUCGGUGCUGCUGCCCGCCGCUCGAACCAGUUUCCCUCCUGCUCAUAAUAAACCUGUUAAACUUU